GAUGAACGCUGGCGGCGUGCCUAGUACAUGCAAGUCGAGCGAACGGACGAGAAGCUUGCUUCUCUGAUGUUAGCGGCGGACGGGUGAGUAACACGUGGAUAACCUACCUAUAAGACUGGGAUAACUUCGGGAAACCGGAGCUAAUACCGGAUGAUAUUUUGAACCGCAUGGUUCAAAAGUGAAAGACGGUCUUGCUGUCACUUAUAGAUGGAUCCGCGCUGCAUUAGCUAGUUGGUAAGGUAACGGCUUACCAAGGCAACGAUGCAUAGCCGACCUGAGAGGGUGAUCGGCCACACUGGAACUGAGACACGGUCCAGACUCCUACGGGAGGCAGCAGUAGGGAAUCUUCCGCAAUGGGCGAAAGCCUGACGGAGCAACGCCGCGUGAGUGAUGAAGGUCUUCGGAUCGUAAAACUCUGUUAUUAGGGAAGAACAUAUGUGUAAGUAACUGUGCACAUCUUGGCGGUACCUAAUCAGAAAGCCACGGCUAACUACGUG
rnacentral:rRNA from 1 species